CGGAGGAGCUAGCGUUAUUCGGAAGUUACUGGGCGGUAAAGACGCACGUAGGCGGCUUUGUAAGUAAGAGGUGAAAGCCCAGAGCUCAACUCUGGAAUUGCCUUUUAGACUGCAUCGCUUGAAUCAUGGAGAGGUCAGUGGAAUUCCGAGUGUAGAGGUGAAAUUCGUAGAUAUUCGGAAGAACACCAGUGGCGAAGGCGGCUGACUGGACAUGUAUUGACGCUGAGGUGCGAAAGCGUGGGAGCAAACAGGAUU
rnacentral:rRNA from 1 species